rnacentral:rRNA from 1 species
AGCGAACGCUGGCGGCAGGCCUAACACAUGCAAGUCGAACGGACCCUUCGGGGUUAGUGGCGGACGGGUGAGUAACACGUGGGAACGUGCCUUUAGGUUCGGAAUAGCUCCUGGAAACGUGUGGUAAUGCCGAAUGUGCCCUUCGGGGGAAAGAUUUAUCGCCUUUAGAGCGGCCCGCGUCUGAUUAGCUAGUUGGUGAGGUAAUGGCUCACCAAGGCGACGAUCAGUAGCUGGUCUGAGAGGAUGACCAGCCACAUUGGGACUGAGACACGGCCCAAACUCCUACGGGAGGCAGCAGUGGGGAUUCUUGCGCAAUGGGCGAAAGCCUGACGCAGCCAUGCCGCGUGGAUGAUGAAGGUCUUAGGAUUGUAAAAUCCUUUCACCGGUGAAGAUAAUGACUGUAGCCGGAGAAGAAGCCCCGGCUAACUUCGUGCCAGCCGCCGCAGUAAAAC